rnacentral:rRNA from 1 species
UACGGAGGAGGCAAGCGUUAUCCGGAAUUAUUGGGCGUAAAGCGUCCGCAGGUGGUUUGUUAAGUCAUUGGUCAAAUCCCGGGGCUCAACCUCGGAACUGCCCGUGAUACUGGCAAACUUGAGGCCGGCAGAGGCAAGCGGAAUUACAGGUGUAGCGGUAAAAUGCGUUUAUAUCUGUAAGAACACCAAAGGCGAAAGCAGCUUGCUGGAACGGUCCUGACACUCAUGGACGAAAGCGUGGGGAGCGAAAAGG